GCUGGGUGUGGUGGUGCUCACCUGUAGCCCCAGCUUCUUGGGAGGCUGAGGUAGGAGGAUCACUUGAGCCCAGGAGGUCAAGGCUACAGUGAGCUAUGACUGUACCACUGUACUCCAGCCUGAGCAACAGAGUGAGACCCUGCCUUAA
ensembl:misc_RNA Metazoa_SRP Metazoan signal recognition particle RNA